GAUGAACGCUGGCGGCGUGCCUAAUACAUGCAAGUCGAGCGAACAGACGAGGAGCUUGCUCCUCUGACGUUAGCGGCGGACGGGUGAGUAACACGUGGAUAACCUACCUAUAAGACUGGGAUAACUUCGGGAAACCGGAGCUAAUACCGGAUAAUAUAUUGAACCGCAUGGUUCAAUAGUGAAAGACGGUUUUGCUGUCACUUAUAGAUGGAUCCGCGCCGCAUUAGCUAGUUGGUAAGGUAACGGCUUACCAAGGCAACGAUGCGUAGCCGACCUGAGAGGGUGAUCGGCCACACUGGAACUGAGACACGGUCCAGACCCCUACGGGAGGCAGCAGUAGGGAAUCUUCCGCAAUGGGCGAAAGCCUGACGGAGCAACGCCGCGUGAGUGAUGAAGGUCUUCGGAUCGUAAAACUCUGUUAUUAGGGAAGAACAAAUGUGUAAGUAACUAUGCACGUCUUGACGGUACCUAAUCAGAAAGCCACGGCUAACUACGCG
rnacentral:rRNA from 1 species